rnacentral:misc_RNA from 1 species
AAUCUCAACCAUUAGGGUUUGCCGUGGAGAGCUUGGACUUUGGAGGUUUGCUGGCCCCUCGGUCGGCUCCUCUCAAACGAAUCAGCUUUCCAGUGUUUGGUGGCGUCACGGGUGUGAUAACUAUCUACGCUCGCGAUCCGUCCGCCUCGCAACCUUCAGCGAUGGAGGUUCGCUGGAGCUCAAAAACGUCUCUCCUCAGCGAAGACAGCUUUUCUGAC